rnacentral:misc_RNA from 1 species
CAAAAUCUCUCGGUGAAAGUCUAUUUGACCGCAACCGGUUUUGGGUCCGCUGGUGAUUGACUUCCCGGUCUUACCACCGACCUUAAAAUUGCUGUACGACCUCUGGCACCGCCUGUCCGAGUCUGUGGAGUGGAGUUUCCAAUCAUCCGCGCUCGGUCUGGCACCGCUUCAGUGGCAUUAAAACGCAAGCCCGUCUCCGGAUGGCUGAA